rnacentral:lncRNA from 1 species
UUAAAAGUCCACCAUCAAUAUUUUAUCUCUGUAACACCAAUCAAUAGAUAUUUCAAAUCAACAAAUUAUCCAUGCACUACGGGCCAAGGAUAUUCGUUUGUAUCACCAGUGGUCAUGAUCAUGCCAAACACCUGUUCAUCUAUGCACUACGGGCCAAAGAGGACUUUCACCACAACAUUUGUCUGUAACAUUACAGGUCAUGAUUAUACCAAUACAUAAUUCCUAGUCAUAAUCAUACCAAUCAAUAGUCCAUCUUUGUACUACGAGUUAAAGAUGAAUUUCAUCACAAUAUAAGCAUGGGGAUGAUGACAAUGAUAUAAAGAAUCAAUCAAGUGAGAUCAAGGAUAAAUAUUAGAUAUUUAUAAUUCAAUUCAUUCAGAGUUCAAGAAUAUCCAAAUUGUCAACAUGAUAACAAAUUUUCGUACAACUUUUUAUUUUUGCCUAAUGGAUACAAAUAAUCUAGUAAGAGCUUCAGGGGAAAUAAUUUAGCAUGAAAUCAAUCAAUAACACUAUAAGAGUGGGAAACAUAUAACCUAUGAUACAAAUCACUAUGGCAGCGGCUAAAGCUUUCAUGGACUAGUGACUAAACUCUGAACUAAAGAUCAAAUUUGUUGGCAAAAGCAUCCACACAAGUGCCUCAUAGCUCCUAAGUAAAAUUUCAGCCAUUUUAAUUUAGAGUGGACAAAUGUUCUACUUUUUAAUUACUAUCAUAGUGCUUGCAACCAAAACAUAUUAAUGCAACAAUCUUUAGAUUGGAAAACUCAAAAUCUAUAGCACUCAAAGGCAUUACGAAAUUGACAUAGUCCAACACAAACUAACUUAAAAAUCCCACAAACUCAGUCCAAAUUCAAUAAUUCACCAAACAAUGUUUAUUAUCACACAUAUCAGACACCUAGUACAAUAAGAAUGCAUUUAAUUUAAAAGCAUUUCACAAAAAAUAAUUUUUUAAAACAUUUUGAGUGAGAACUUGAUAACACUAACUUUUAUUAACAUAAAAAAUGCAUAACAAACUAACCCUUCUUUAAAGCUCAUCAUCCAUCCUCAAAUACUCCCCAAUAUCAGCGCGGUGAAUGUACCACAAUCUCAUUUGGGGUUCAUUAUCCUAUAGUCCCAUUUGGGUCCAUUUUCCUACAAUCCCAUUUGGGUCCAUUAGAAAAAUAUUUCUUAAUAAAAUUUGUGCCAAUGGGUUAAAAAAAACAUAUUUUGUGCCAAUGGGUAAAAAAACACUGUGAAUUCCCAAAUUUAUACACACAAAAAAAAGGCAAAGACAAGGUCGAAAUUCACCUCCAAAAAAUGCAUAUUCAUUCUUUUACUUCAUCAUCUUCAUCAACAAAUUAUACUAAUAAAGGAUUAACAUUCACAUGCAUUUUCCUAACAAACUUGUUAUCAAGAAAACAAUCUGCAGAAAUCAUGCAUCUUAAUCCUCUAUCUAUAACAAAUGAAAAGCUUUGAUUUUGUUAUUUUUAGAGUCUAAUAUAUAAAUCAAAGCAUUCACGUUCAAAAUUCCCAACUAAACAUGUACUUUUUCAUAUUUAACAACCCACUUUAAUUUACUAUACUUAUUAAAUUUAUUCAUAACAUUAUACAGUAAUUAUAGUUAAUAUAUUAAGUAAUAGGUAUUUUAUUAAUUUAUUCCUAUAUUACAUGAGCUAACUAUCAAAAUGACCAAAACAAAUCCAAAACAUUCAACAAACCACGCCUGGGUAGCCGCUGCAGUGCACUGUAGUAGGCAGCGCACGACUGCUAUUGCAGCUGCCUGCAGCAGCUGUGCAGUUUUGCUCCAGCUUCAUGCUCAAAUUGCCUACUUUACCAUUUUCUAGAUUACAAACCGUAAAUCUGAUCAAGGCAAACUUUUAGGAUGUUGUAAAGAGUUUAUCAAACUAUUUUUAAAAAAUACUAACCAACUAAAUCAAACCUCCUAGACCAGUUUUUUUCAUGGCUUCAAACUAGCCUGCUAGGUACUUUUUUUUAUCCGAGUUACACAUACAAGUUUCUUGAAAACAGACUUUAAACUCAAAUUACCUUUCUCAAUUUACUUGAAUUACUUCAUUAAACAAGUAUAAAGAGUUUCUAUAGAACCAACUUUGCUAAAUCCUUGCAAAUCUACCCGACAGUCUCUAAGGAGCCUUAAAUCAAACGCCUCAUACGCUUUACAUUUAGGAACAUAGUUUAUAUCUAUUUAUAUACAAGUUUAGCCCAAAAUUUACUCCCUUAUUGCUUUGCACAACAACUAUUCUCCUUUUCACUAAAUCUCAAUUACCACAGCAAUAACAUACUCAAUUUUUUCAUAAAAAAGUCAAACUUUGCUUCAAAAAUUAAGAUUUAGAACUUACCUCGCUAUAGUGUUCAAUGGAAUGAAUACAAUAUUUAUAGUUUAGUUAUUUCCCCCCUCUUUGCUGCCUCUGCUUUUUGAAGUCAAUUCCAGCCCAGCUCACACCUUAAUUCUCUUGCCCAAUUCCUUAAUGUAGCCAAACAAGCCAAGCCUUGAUGACCCUUUCUGGGGAGUUUUUGAAAAAGUGAAAAGGAAUGCAAUGGAAUGGUUGAAGUACUAAGGAUAAGAGGAACUUGAUAAUGACCAUGUUACAUUCUAAUUUCAUUUAAAAUGGUUGAUUAUAAUAGCCUGCUGAGUGCUGACUCCUUAAUCUAUUGACAGCUCAAGCUUAUCCCCUAAUUCAGCCACCUCCUAUUUGCUUAGCUCAAUGACUCAUACUCACUAUUUAGCAUUUCCCUGUAUUUAUCUAAAUCCGGAUAAUCAAUCCCAA